UGGUGCAUGGCGGGCUCGUCCAGGGGCAAGAGAACCGAAACGUCUGGCUGCAGGGAGAGGAAGGAAACAACACCAAAGCUUUUGCUUCGUUAUUAUUUCACGGAGACCACUUGAGCAAGUCAGCGGCACGAAGUUUCUCCUUUUGCUCAGGAUGAUCAUCCUUUGUGAACUAACAUCGGAAUACAAGCUCUUAUUGGAAAAUACAGCAUUAGGGUCUCACCGGCUGUACAAAACCUCAAGAUGAGCCCAAUUGUGUCUUUGUGUAUAUAAUAAAUGAACCUAUUUAGGAAGACAGAUACAAUUAGCUUGGGGGAAAAAUAGUCUCCAUUCUUUAAUUGUUUUCCCUGUAUUUUUGCAAUAUGCGGACUGUCUGUAUUAUUACAAGCCUCUGUCUGCAAAUGAACAGAGGCAAUUAUGCUCCUGACUCUUAAUUGCAUGACAGAUGAACGCCCCUGACACCUUCAUGCGUUGAUGAAAUUACACUUGGAAAGGUUUAUGCUGAGCCAAAGGAUCUGUUCUGGCUAACAGAGCCCCUGGGUCAUCGCCGCAUCAUUACAAGACAGCAAGGUUGGAGUCAGGAGCGCACGACCUGCUCUCACUGCUGUUUCCGGAGCACUGAUUUCCAGUUGGAAAGAGGACAUCACAAUGACGGACACGCAACUGGGCCCCCCUGGAGUCGCACGGGGACCACUGGGACCAGCUGGACCAACUCUCUGCAAACAAGAAUGAUAGUCAAUCCCAGAACUGUGUCUUUUUGUUUUUGGGGUGUUUGUGUGCACCUGGACAGGCUAGAGUGUUGCAUAGUGCCUCUUCAGUGUGCAGCCCAAGGCAGAUGUCCCCUCCGUAUGCAGGCGGGGGGUUACUGCAAGUUCGAGUCCUCACGUAAUGUCCUCCCCCGCAUGUCACAGAGCACUUGGACCAUGAAGACCAGCAGGACCAGCUUCCAUCCACUAAGGGACAAAGGGGAGACCCUUUCACUCCAGUAUAAACUCCUUUCACAGUGAAGCACCAGAUAAAUACGUUUGAAGACCUGCUGAUGCUUUGGGACUUGUGUGCAGGACAAGGGGUGGUGUUGCAUUCUUGGUACUCCUGUGCAGUCCCCUGGCAGGUCUGACCUCCAUACUUGGGCUCUGGGUUGUUGCAAGCCCGUUUUCUGCUGCGGAUUCCACGGCUGCAGUCUCUGCUGCACUGGGUCCAGGAAGACCACGAGGACCAGGCGCCAUUGACAGGAGACACAGAGUUUACCUUGCACUCGUCCUCAACCUCUGCAUAUGCCUGACCUUGGCAGCUCACAGCCUCAUCACCUCACAAGCUGGCGUGAGCACCGACAGGGCCCGUCGAGACGUGUGCUCUUUAAUGAUUCUAAGCAGCCGAUGGUAGACUGACCCGCCGGCCGCUGUGACCUGAUACUCUUUAUCCAGACUUCUUUAAGGUUGGGAUAUUGAGUGGGCGCUUGUGCUGAUUUUGUCGGUGAGGUUCAUUGUGUUUCAAGCAUUUAGACAACAGCAACCUCUCCUCUUAUUGCUAUGGAAAAAUGCAAACAUGUACAGUUACAAACGGUAACAAAAAGAGUGUCGUUACUUAAACAAAUUUGAACCUUCUUAUGGUAUAACAAGAUGAUCACUGGCCAAAGGGUACAAUUUUUCCCCACAAAUUAAUCAGAUCCAAUAUAAGAGUGGUAUCAAAGUUUUGUAUAGUGUGCAUCAUAAUGAGAGCUGUAUUUAUAUUUUUAUUACUGAUAUUUAUUGAACACUGAUUUUCUCCCUUCCGUAAUGCAUUAGAUCCCAGCAACUAGCUCGCUUUCACUAUGAUGUCGUACAGUUCUACUUUACUACAAACACAAACCAAAAUGGGACUCCUUAUGGCAUUGGCCUACAUCAAGUUUUGUUGAAGGUGUUAAGGUGAGAAAGGAAGAAUGCCAUGCUACCUUCCGGAAAGAGGUGAGACAGGCUCUCGAUGGACAAGAGGAGCUCCCGGAAGACUGAACUGCUACAGCCAAGAUCGUCUAGUGGGAAUCACUUGAACUCAGUUUCUGACAGAUGGUUGGCCCUUAAACACAUCAUCAAGUUCUUCGGGUGUGUGGAACUUGCACAGUAACUCAACGUUGACAACAUUGGGGUAUCUAAAGGUACAUGGAAAUCAUUUGAAAACAGAUGCUCGACGGAAUAAAUCUGAACUAUAUAAACCAAAGGUAUGCUUUUGAAAAGUGCUGGUUAAAAGAUUUGUGCCGAUGUGGCCCUCAGUUUAAUGGUUUUCAAUGUAUACCUGUAAAGUGGCAAAGCAUGACGAGGUCCUUUUGACCUCAACCUUUAUCAACUGCAUGUGUCUUCCAGAACAUUUUCCAAGAUUGCACACUGGCUAUGUACAACCUCUCCCAAAAUUAUCAAACACCAUUCUCAUUGUUGGUGCUCGAACAAAAAAAAAAGAGGUGAAGUUAUCUUGAUUCAAGAUAAAAAAAGAAAAGUCACAUUUGUACUAUUGUGAGAAACCAAAUUUUCCUUUCCCAAACUUUUUCAUACUGGAGGUAUCAAGUCUUUAAGAGCGACAAAGUGUGAGAACAAAACAUAACAGCUUUAUUCCUAAAUUUUAAGCACAGGACCAGAUCUUUUUUUUCCCCCCACUCAAACUUGAUUAGAAGGCACAGUCCAAACCUGCUGAGAGUUGUUUUUGCAAGUCCAAGGCAUCACUUCAUUGCAAACAGAUCAGAGAGGAUUGGAUGACUAAUUGCAUUUUUUAACUCAUUUAAGGAGACGUCAAUUCAGUUGUGGUUCUUCUGUAAUAACAACUGACGAUGUGUACGUUUGGCUUACUGGUACAGUAAACUGUCCCCAGUUUAGACCCUUGGCAUGCCAUAUAUUUAAGUUGUUUGCCUUCUUUUUCACCCAACUGCUUUUUUCCCCAUCACCAGUCAAGACACUGCCAAGAUGGAUGCUGUCAAAUGUGUUUGUGUGUGUGUGUGUGACAAAGACAGCUGGGAUAUUCUCCGGCACUCUGGAACCCUCAUGAGGAUAAGCGACUCAGAAAAUGGAUGGAUGGAUAGAAACAAUUCAGGGGAAUUCUCCUGUCAUAGCCCUGAGGCUGCAUUCAUCCUACAAGUGAGACACAUCCUGUCAUCUUCUUUUGUCACUUGGUGUGAUUAUAAAUGUCAUCUGACGUCAGGUUCCGGGUGGCGAUUUCAAAUGAAACAUGCUCCUGGUGCCUGGUGGUGCUCCUUGCAACCCCUCAAGGUGCAAGCAUUGGAGGAGACAGAUAAUCUGGAAUGAUGACGCAGGAAAAAGAAUCAUUUUCAACGGCGCAAAAGUUGGAAGUAUUGAAGUAGAGCUGAAACAUGAGACCAAACAGAGGAAGUAAAAGAGUUUGAAAAAAAAGGGAACGUUUUGGUGGACAUCCACAGAAAGAUGGUGGAGAUGCACCAAGCCAGAAACAUUCAGAGGGAAAGACAACAUCAUCUCACCAUCGCAGGUUGGGGUCCGGGAUGCGAGCCUUGCACGUGUAGCGGAAACGCUGCUCGUAGUGACCGCCGCUGUCGGAAAUGUUCACCGGUGUCCAAGGCGUCCACGGAGUGGUUUUCUUCAGGUCAGGACAAG